ACAAACCCCCAGCAGCUUCUCCCUUUUCGCUUUGGACUACUGACUUGUAAGCUGGUCCCCCCCCUCCCCGAGGUGGGGGGUAGGAUGCAGUGAAAGGCCAGCCUGCAAGGCACAGUAUGUCUCGUUCCUAUAUGCUGAAUAUUACAGCAGAUAUUGGCGAAGUGGGUUAAGAGACACUGCUGUUUCAACAGUGAAGAAUGAAAAUGGGAAAGACCAUUCAAAUAAGCAAAUAAUUGAGACGCAGGGAGAAAAUAGUUUACAGGAACAGACUACUGGCAACUCCGGCUUCUCAGAUCUUGCUCUGAACAGCAUUCAUCGUACUUCCUCACCGGUUUACAUUUAGUCAAGUAUUUGGCCCUGUGCAGGAUGAUGCAGUUUUGUCCCAACUGUGACCUUUGAUCCUCUGAAGAGACUUCUGAGCUAUUCCAAUAGCAAGCAACCACCAGUUCCUUCCCAUGUUUGCCAAACAGGAGUCACCAAACUUUGUGGCAUCAUAAACUAGGGUAUCUGACAUGAACAAAGAACAUGCUGGAGACCAAGCCAAAAAUCUGAAAAUCAUUUAGCUGAGAAGCUCAGGCUGCCACAAUAAAACGCAAGAGCAGCCAGUGCAAGAUCUAACACAAUUACCAAUUGGAAAUCCCUUAUCUUAAACAUUAUACGAUUUCAGCUAUUUACCCUCCUUGUUUAUUGAAAAACAGUGAACAAAGAUGGCUGAUGAUCUCAUGGUGGGACCUAAUACUAGUUGUUUUACUAGGGGCUGUAGGACUCAGUAGAAGAGAAACUGCAAAGUCUGUUCACAAGAAAACAUUUUGUUCAUGUGACCACCAAGGAAAUAAUUCACAGCAAAAAAGAUGCAUUGGUUUUCAGAAUAGAUAAGCUGCAGAAUUCUAAAAAUUAAUACUGACAUGUUUCAUAAGUUUGGAAGAAGGUAAACUAUUUGUUUUACAGGGUAUUUUACGGUGUGUGGUUUUAAAAACAUAUUAGUGGCUAUCACUAAUUUACUUAGUAAGCCUUAUUGGACAUGAGAAAGCAAGGGACCAAGGGACUUGCUGUGUAGUCUUUUUUGGGAGGGGGAUUUCUAGUAAAGCAAGUCUACUCUAAAUGCGUACUCAAGAAAUCUGUGCGAUACAAGCACAAUGAACUUAAGAUGCAAGGAGAAACGCUGAAAUUAUGUUGCUUCAACAAGCUGAAGUAGCAGUUUAUCUCAGAACUUUGGUCAGCUGCUUUCCCAUUUGUGUGCCUUCAUAACAGACUGUGUACCUCUAAUAACAGCCUCUAAUGUCAGGAAAAAUACUUUUAAUACUUAAAAUAAAAGUAUUUUAAAAGACCAAAUCUCUGGAGAGUCUCCCUAGAGCAGUACUUUUUCUAUCCUUUUCAGUUUGUGGUCACCUAAACUGUUUUCACAAAUCAAAACCCACUUCUUUUGAAGUUGUCCAGUGACACCCAGGGGGUCCAUGAACCACAGGCUGAAAACUACUGCUUGGGUUAAAUGAAAGGAGAGCACACAACAAGCACUCUCCCCUAUUUAGCAGUUCCUGAAUGUAAAGUCUUAAAGCAAAAUGAAGUCUCUCAGCUCCAAUUCUUUCUCCCUUUCAUCUCUUUCUCUGACUCAGAGUCUGUGGUUUCCCGGACCCUGUGAGCACGUAAGUUUCAAUAGCUAAAGUGUUGAUCUGCUCCAGGAUACCAAACAGCUAACGUUUUGCCUUCUGGCAGAGGUUUUGUCAGCUCACUCUUCGGAGCAGAAUGGAAUAAUCUGACUUUCUGACCUUUAGAGACUUCUGCAGUCUUUACAGUAAUUUCUUCAAUGUGCCCUCUUCUACAGCAGCAACUAUGGUGCCUUUUUCUACCCCAUUUCUUCAAGGAAACCACUUUGAUGAUCUUGCAUUUGCUGAUGAUCAACAUGUUGAAGAUAUUAGCUGUAAUUAGGAAGAAAGCCCUCUACGUUUAACACCAUAUACAAAUUAAUUGUAUCAGAUUUCCUGAUUAGUCUCUUUGGUAGCAUUCCUUCAGAGAUGCUUGCUUCAGCCAUACAGCACAUACUGCAAUGACAAACAUAAUCUGCCUGGAACGCUAGGCUGAAAUAUCCUAUUGAUAAGAUGCUCAGAGCAUCUAGGAGUCUACAAAGCAAGUUAAGUAAAUUAAUCCUUCACUCAAGAAACAGUGACAGUUAAUGAAGUUUAGAUCUCCUCUUGAUUAAAAUGCUGUACCAUGUUAUGUAUUGUUUACUAAACUUUACUAUUGGAAACAGUCACAAACAGGAAGCCCAUGGUCUGUUUUCAUCACUGGUAUCUUGGUCUGUAUUUGGACGACAAGGUUAUUUUUGUUUGCUGGCUGCAAGGGUACAGAUGUAGCAGCAUUUCAGGUGUAUUACUCUAUUUUCUUAAAAUUGCUUUGACAGAAGUUUCUGCUAUUUUUGAAAUAUAUCUGUAUAGAAAGAUAGGAUUCAUAAAAUGUACGUGUUCCAUUGCAAGUAAUCUCUUUUGUUAAUAUAUUUUGCCUUGAAGGAAGAGAGGCACAGAUUUUUAGGAAUUCUGGAAAUCCAUUAAUAAAUCUCUUUCAGUUUCUUCA